UGUUAAAAAUUCUAUCGAUUUAUAUGAUUAAAAAUUGGCGUGGCUUUAUAACCAAAUGUGACACGUGGCGUGCCUCGUGUCCCUCAUGCUAGCGAAUAGGAAUCAGUUUUUAAUAUUAGAAAUAGAUGGAACUUUUAACA
rfam:Gossypium arboreum cultivar AKA8401 contig_17_3, whole genome shotgun sequence.